rnacentral:pre_miRNA from 1 species
ACAACAUUCGGACCGUCGGUCUACCGAGUAAUAUCACCCGCUCGGUGGAAGAUCUUCCCUCCGUCGU